ACCGGGAUCGUCUAAUGAUCGGACACCUGCCUUUGAAGCAGCCUAUCGAGGUUUGAAUCCUCGUCCCGGUG
rnacentral:tRNA from 1 species